CGCGUAGGCGGUUAAGUGAGUGUGAUGUGAAAGCCCUGGGCUUAACCUAGGAAGUGCAUCGCAAACGACUUAACUGGAGUAGAUGAGAGGGUGGCGGAAUUUCCGGUGUAGCGGUGAAAUGCGUAGAGAUCGGAAGGAACGUCAAUGGCGAAGGCAGCCACCUGGCAUCAUACUGACGCUGAGGCGCGAAAGCGUGGGGAUCGAACAGGAUUAGAUACCCUGGUAGUCCACGCUGUAAACGAUGAGGACUAGAUGUUGGUAGGGGAACCUAUCAGUAUCGAAGCUAACGCGAUAAGUCUUCCGCCUGGGAAGUACGGCCGCAAGGUUGAA
rnacentral:rRNA from 1 species